UACAGAGGUCUCAAGCGUUGCUCGGAAUGACUGGGCGUAAAGGGCGCGUAGGCGGCUCAUACAGUCAGAUGUGAAAUUCCUGGGCUUAACCUGGGGGCUGCAUUUGAUACGUGUGGGCUUGAGUGGGGAAGAGGGUCGUGGAAUUCCCAGUGUAGAGGUGAAAUUCGUAGAUAUUGGGAAGAACACCGGUGGCGAAGGCGGCGACCUGGUCCUUGACUGACGCUGAGGCGCGAAAGCGUGGGGAGCAAACAGG
rnacentral:rRNA from 1 species